rnacentral:rRNA from 1 species
AUUGAACGCUGGCGGCAGGCCUAACACAUGCAAGUCGAACGAGUGGCGGACGGGUGAGUAAUGUCUGGGAAACUGCCCGAUGGAGGGGGAUAACUACUGGAAACGGUAGCUAAUACCGCAUACCAUCGGAUGUACCCAUAUGGGAUUAGCUAGUAGGUGGGGUAAUGGCUCACCUAGGCGACGAUCCCUAGCUGGUCUGAGAGGAUGACCAGCCACACUGGAACUGAGACGCGGUCCAGACUCCUACGGGAGGCAGCAGUGGGGAAUAUUGCACAAUGGGCGCAAGCCUGAUGCAGCCAUGCCGCGUGUAUGAAGAAGGCCUUCGGGUUGUAAAGUACUUUCAGUGGGGAGGCGUUACUCGCAGAAGAAGCACCGGCUAACUCCGUGCCAGCAGCCGCGGUAAUUC